GACGUAGGGCGCGAGCGUUGUCCGGAUUUAUUGGGCGUAAAGAGCUCGUAGGCGGCUUGUCGCGUCGACUGUGAAAUCCCGCGGCUCAACUGCGGGUCUGCAGUCGAUACGGGCAGGCGUAGAGUUCGGUAGGGGAGACUGGAAAUUCCUGGUGUAGCGGUGAAAUGCGCAGAUAUCAGGAGGAACACCGGUGGCGAAGGCGGGUCUCUGGGGCCGAUACUGACGCUGAGGAGCGAAAGCGUGGGGGGAGCGAACAGG
rnacentral:rRNA from 1 species